rnacentral:rRNA from 1 species
AUUGAACGCUGGCGGAAUGCUUUACACAUGCAAGUCGAACGGCAGCACGGGAGCUUGCUCCUGGUGGCGAGAGGCGAACGGGUGAGUAACAUAUCGGAACGUACCCAGUGGUGGGGGAUAACACAUCGAAAGAUGUGCUAAUACCGCAUACGACCUGAGGGUGAAAGGGGGGGAUCGCAAGACCUCUCGCCGCUGGAGCGGCCGAUAUCGGAUUAGCUAGUUGGUGAGGUAAAGGCUCACCAAGGCGACGAGCCGUAGCUGGUCUGAGCGGACGACCAGCCAAAAUGGGACUGAGACACGGCCCAGACUCCUACGGGAGGCAGCAGUGGGGAAUUUUGGACAAUGGGGGCAACCCUGAUCCAGCCAUUCCGCGUGAGUGAAGAAGGCCUUCGGGUUGUAAAGCUCUUUCGGCAGGAACGAAACGGUGGAUCCUAAUACGGUCUGCUAAUGACGGUACCUGAAGAAGAAGCACCGGCUAACUACGUGCCAGCAGCCGCCGUAA